rnacentral:pre_miRNA from 1 species
AUGCAUGUGUGCAUGUAUUCAUGUGUGCAUGUGUGCAUGUGUGUGUGUGUGUUUGUGUGUGUG